rnacentral:rRNA from 1 species
UCACUUUAGCGAGAAUGCCGUUGACAAAACGGAGGAAGAGUGGGGAGACGUCAAUCAUCAUGCCCCUUAUGACCUGGGCUACACACGUACUACAAUGGCGGUCAUACAAAGGGAAGCAAACCUGUAAGGCAAACCAAAUCCCUAAAAGCUGUCCCAGUUCAGAUUGCAGGCUGCAACUCGCCUGCAUGAAGUCGGAAUUGCUAGUAAUCGCGGAUCAGCAUGCCGCGGUGAAUACGUUCCCGGGCCUUGUACACACCGCCCGUCACACCAUGAAAGCCGGUAAUGCCCGAAGUCCGUAAUCUAACCGCAAGGAGGACGUGGCCGAAGGCGGGACUGGUAAUUGGGGUGAAGUCGUAACAAGGGUAACCGUAAA